AAGGUCCUUCACUUCACCUGCCACCACCGUGACCUUUGCUUACAGGGUCUGCUGCUCAGGGCCAGCGUGCUGGUGCUCCUGGCACUUGAGGUCCCUGGCUUAAUGACUUCUCACUGAAAUGUCAGGAGCUUUAGGAGCAGGAGCAUCUCCUAGCCAGGCUGGGAGCCCUGCUUUAGAGAGGAGCCAUGCAUCCCAGUAUGCCAGCUACAGGAUCCACUUGAUGCCAAAUGGUAGCCAUGGUUCUGCUGGAACGAAGCCGGAACAAAGACCCUAAACACCUCUGCCCCCGUGGAGCUUACAUGAGGAAGAAGGACAAGAAACAAGCAUAACUAGAGGCAGAACUGGAUAUGGCGAAGGAGCAGCUCUGGGCAAGUGAGAUGGGAUGCUGUCAUUUGCAUCCCUUGCUCAGUGCUGUGGUGUAAAUAUUUCCACUGUGGUCUGAUUCCCUCCAUGGCCAACAUUAAGCCCUCAACCGAACAUCAAUCGGCUGCAAACUCUACAAUGGAUUCUCAGGGUUAUAGGCAGCAGGACUGGAGGACUCCAGGUCACAGACGAGGACAGCUGAAGGAGAUCACAUGGGCUAGAAUGAAGCCAACCCUUACCUCACCCCUCAGAACCACUCAUGACUAUCUCAGGAGGUGAAGAAGCUGGGAUAUGCUCCCCUGAUCUCUCCCUCUGGGCUAGAAUGCUGAUGCCAGGGGCUGGAAAUGCAACUAUAAGAAGUUCUCGUGUUGGAUGUA
rnacentral:lncRNA from 1 species